UAUAAAUUAGUAUAAGAUGUACAUAAGUUUUUGAUACUUAAGGAAAUAGUUUAAGUCUGUUAUUUAUAA
rnacentral:tRNA from 1 species